rnacentral:rRNA from 1 species
UACCAAGCCUUGACAUCCUGCCGGCAGCAUAUGCAAUGUAUGCCCCCCUCGGGGCGGCAGAGACAGGUGGUGCAUGGUUGUCGUCAGCUCGUGUCGUGAGAUGUUGGGUUAAGUCCCGCAACGAGCGCAACCCCUACCCCCAGUAGCCAGCGCGUGGAGGCGGGCACUCUGUGGGGACUGCCAGGGACAACCUGGAGGAAGGCGGGGAUGACGUCAAAUCAUCAUGCCCCUUAUGGCUUGGGCUACACACGUGCUACAAUGGCGUUAACAGAGGGAUGCGAUGCGGCGACGCGGAGCGAACCCCAGAAACAGCGCCCCAGUUCGGAUUGCAGCCUGCAACUCGGCUGCAUGAAGCCGGAAUCGCUAGUAAUCGCGGAUCAGAAUGCCGCGGUGAAUACGUUCCCGGGUCUUGUACACACCGCCCGUCACACCAUGGGAGUUGGGAAUGCCCGAAGUCAGUGGCCCAACCGUAAGGGGGGAGCUGCCGAAGGCAGAUCCGAUGACUGGGGUGAAGUCGUAACAAGGUAACCGU